UCUGGUGGAAGUAGCGUCGAGGUCACACCCGGCUCCAUGUCGAACCCGGAAGUUAAGCUUGACAGCGCCGAUGGUACUGUAUGGGGUACAUACGGAAGAGUAGGUCUCUGCCAGAA
rnacentral:rRNA from 1 species